UUUUAGAUCGUGGGCAGCCCGAAUCAUAGUUUGGACUUAGCUUGAGUUGGAUCAUAUUGGAGAGCGUUUGAGGUACAGACGCACAGCCUGGUGAUCCACCUGUUUAGGACACCCUUUCUGCUAUUCGGAGUGCUCCUCUCUUUCCGGAGCUUAUACUUUUGGUAUAUAUAUUUAUUAGUGCGUUUGUAUAUAUUCGUUCAUGGGUACGGCGGGGCCCUGUCCCGUCAUAUGAUUCUGUCGGUCUGUUUAGAGGUCUGUGGACAUGUUUGUGGGUUAGGGUCUUUCUGUAUGGAUGUAUGUACAUGUCGUUUGGGCGAUCCCAUACGCCGAGGCGGCCGGUCCGCAUAUGUUGUUUGGGCGAUCCUAUACGCCGAGGCGGCCGAUCCGCAUAUGUUUAUAUAUUGCUUGGUUAGCCCUG